rnacentral:misc_RNA from 1 species
GAACGCACAUUGCACUCCUUUGGAGUAUGCCUGUUUGAGCGUCAUUAUCACCCCUCGGGCCCCGUGCUCGGUGUUGGACGGCCGGUUCGGUGACCGAACCCCUCCUAAAGACAAUGACGGCGGCCUGUGGUUCCCCCGGUACACUGAGCCUUUGGCACGUGCCGGACGAGGGCGCCCAGGACCCGGUCCUCUCCUCUCAGCAGGAAACUUCUCAAGGUUGACCUCGGAUCAGGUAGGAAUACGCGCUGAACUUAAG